rnacentral:rRNA from 1 species
UACGUAGGGUGCAAGCGUUGUCCGGAAUUAUUGGGCGUAAAGAGCUCGUAGGCGGUCUGUCGCGUCGGCUGUGAAAACUCGGGGCUCAACCCCGAGCCUGCAGUCGAUACGGGCAGACUAGAGUGCUGUAGGGGAGACUGGAAUUCCUGGUGUAGCGGUGAAAUGCGCAGAUAUCAGGAGGAACACCGGUGGCGAAGGCGGGUCUCUGGGCAGUAACUGACGCUGAGGGGCGAAAGCGUGGGGAGCGAACAGG